UUUUGUUCCAUUAUCACCUCCCUCUCUUCUAUAGUGGUAGUUAUCUUUUUCUUUUCUUUCCUUCCUAAGUUUUCCAGUUGACGAGGAGAAGAACAUGAAAUCGGUUGUUGAAUACUUUCAAGAGGUGUAUGGGUUUACCAUUCAACAUCCCCAUCUACCUUGCCUCCAAGUGGGAAAUCCAAGGAAAGUGAACUAUUUGCCAAUGGAGGCUUGCAAGAUAGUUGACGGGCAGAGAUACA